CGACGCUCUGCGCACCGUAGAUGCGCUGGGUGCAUCUGUCGCUCGGUGCAGCGAUGCACUUCUCGUAGUUCCGCUUUGCAAAAAUCCUCCUUUUUUGAGGUCAAGAAAACGAAGGAAAUCAUUGGCGUCUUCCUCCUGCGCUCCCCUCACCAGAUCUCGAUCCCACCAUGUCUGCCACUUCCGCCCUGGGGUCUCCGGCGACCUCCGCCGCCGCGGCCCCUCUGCCCGACCUCUCCAUCCCCUAUGAUCUAGCCACGCGUGGACAGUGGCAAGCGCUGCUCGCGAACCUCGCUCACCCCUCCCACGCCCAUCACCCGCACCACGGCCUCCUCUUAUCUGCGCUCUCGGCGCUCUCCCUCGCCAAGCUCCGCCGCUACCCCGACGGCGCCGCCCUACUGGCCUCACUUCACCCCGAUCCCGGCUGCCCGCCGCCCCCCUUUCUUCUUCGCCUCCUGCACGCUCUCCUCCCGCUCUUCUUCCCCGACCGCCCCCUCGCUCUCGACCGCCUCUACACGCUUCUCUCAUCGGUCCGCGCCCGCCCCGACUCCCAGCAUCCGGAGUGGCGCCGUCGUGACGCCCUUGUCGCGUCCGUCCUCGCCUCCGAUCACCUCGCCCACCGCGAGUUCGACGUCGCCCUUGCCCUCGUCGCUGAACUCGUCGCCCGCGAGCCGGACAACCCGGUCCUGCUCUCCCGCCUCGCCUAUGCCCACCUCCAGAUCGGCAACCUCGCUGCCGCCUCCGCGGUCUUCCAACACGUUGAAUCCGUCGCGGCCGGCGACUCCUCUCACGACAGCCUCCUGUCUCGCAACCGCGCGCUCGAGUGCAUCGUGGCUAAGGACUAUGCCGCAGCGGUGCGGGAGUACGAGCUCUGUAUUGAAGCUGACCCGGCUGACGCCAUCGCCGUGAACAACAAGGCGCUAUGCCUAAUGUACUCGCGGGACCUCGGCGAUGCCAUCAAGGUGCUUGAGGGCGCGCUGGAGACUAUGCCCACGGCGGCGCUCAAUGAGACAGUGGUGGUCAAUUUGUGUAGCAUGUACGAGCUUGCCUUCGUCAACCAUGGUGAGGUCAAGCGAACCCUUGCCGAUUGGAUAACGAGGGUGGCACCAGACGACUUCGACAAGUCCUGCACACGCAUGUAGGAGGUACUGGAAUUCAGCAUUGAAUUAUUCACCUGCUGCUAGGAUGUGCUCUAGCAGAGAGAUUGUGUAUUUGUGUUGCUAUAGUUGCUCCACACACUGGAGUUUGAUUGUUCAUGUUUCCAUGACAUUUAUCAUCUAAUGAUAACUGAAAGUUACGUGGUUGCAGUGACUUGCUCAACUGGAAGGUACUGUGUGGUUAACAAAUAAUGGGGAAUUUCUAGCAUUAUGUUGUGCUGCUUGAAAUGCAGUUAUCGUACAUGUUUGGAAUACUUUUUGCAUAGUUUAGAAUGACUAAUAUGCGCUCGAAGGCUAAAGUUUGGAAUGCAAUGAUCAUAUGUAUUUGGUGUUUGGUGAUAAGUUUGUUCCUGUUGUUAUCCUUACUAAAAGCAAUUCAACAUUGUAAUUAUGAAAUGUUUUAUUGCUGCACCAUGAUAAUUCCUUUUCUGAUUAAUGCAAAGGUUAAAGAAUGCCUUAACUAAAGCCUGUAAGAUGGCAGCUAUGUGAUACAAAUCUUGUGGCCAAAGAUGUAGAUUCUCCCCACUGGAACUACCAAUUUCACCCUCCACCCCCCCCAAAAAAUGCAAUGGCAGGGAAUAUGGGGACGGAUUAUAGUCUGCUUGUUUUAACCAAGAAGUACUAUUAAAAGUAUCAUGGG
rnacentral:rRNA from 1 species